rnacentral:miRNA from 1 species
UGCUUCGAGACGAUGAACCCGA